CAUCUCUACCACAAAUCAAAACAAAACAAAGUUAUAUGUACAUCAAGCAAACUAAGACAAUUCGACGAAAUUGGUGGCUUCGAUGUCCUUGCCACGACGCACCCACCCAACCUUGGGUGCCCCAAGAAAGAUGUGGGAGGCACACCCCAUCUCCGGCAGACCGGAGUCUAUUCCUGGUGGAUUAGGAUCGGCUCAUCUCCCCGCCCAAGAAACUCUUAAGGCCGAUCCCAGACCGUCGCCCAGAUGAGAAGCAACAACCGAAAGGGAAAUUUUUAGACGCUUAAAGUUCCAAGUGUCAGGCAAAGUCGCCGCACGGCACUAAAUUGGAGGCGUUUGCCAACCGGGUCGCCUAAUCCUGAGGAGCUCCAAGGGAAAAGAAGGGACGUGCUGAUAACGUAAGUACGCUAAACAAAUCCCACAAGUUAUUAAAUUUCGCGACCCAAUUUAGAUGUAGUUGGACGCGCGCGCUCUAAUUUUAGAUUAGAUUUCACAAGUUCAACGUCGGAUGUGGUUGAAACUGCAGCCCGAAUGGAAAAACGCUAGCGGCGAAAACCAGCGCGAGUCCGCACGGAGCCAGUUGGUCCGGAGGAUAGUGCAGCGUGGCCGGAGGCAGUGCGUCGGUGGACUUGGAGAUGACCACGUGGCCAGCGCGGGCAUUCGUUCCCGGAACGGACUCACCGAGGGAAUCUCCGUAUCUGGCCGUCUUGGAGGCAGU